rnacentral:rRNA from 1 species
AGGCGGUCUGUUAAGUCAGAUGUGAAAUCCCCGGGCUUAACCUGGGAACUGCAUUUGAAACUGGCAGGCUUGAGUCUCGUAGAGGGGGGUAGAAUUCCAGGUGUAGCGGUGAAAUGCGUAGAGAUCUGGAGGAAUACCGGUGGCGAAGGCGGCCCCCUGGACGAAGACUGACGCUCAGGUGCGAAAGCGUGGGGAGCAAACAGGAUUAGAUACCCUGGUAGUCCACGCCGUAAACGAUGU